UACGGAGGGUGCAAGCGUUAUCCGGAUUCACUGGGUUUAAAGGGUGUGUAGGCGGAUUUUUAAGUCAGUGGUGAAAUCUCCGGGCUCAACCCGGAAACUGCCAUUGAUACUAUUAGUCUUGAAUUCUGUUGAGGUGGGCGGAAUACAUCAUGUAGCGGUGAAAUGCUUAGAUAUGAUGUAGAACACCGAUUGCGAGGGCAGCUCACUAAGCAGACAUUGACGCUGAGGCACGAAAGCGUGGGGAUCAAACAGG
rnacentral:rRNA from 1 species